rnacentral:rRNA from 1 species
UGGCGGGACGGGGUGGAGUAAUGUCUGGGAAACUGCCUGAUGGAGGGGGAUAACUACUGGAAACGGUAGCUAAUACCGCAUAACGUCGCAAGACCAAAGAGGGGGACCUUAGGGCCUCUUGCCAUCGGAUGUGCCCAGAUGGGAUUAGCUAGUAGGUGGGGUAAAGGCUCACCUAGGCGACGAUCCCUAGCUGGUCUGAGAGGAUGACCAGCCACACUGGAACUGAGACACGGUCCAG